rnacentral:misc_RNA from 1 species
AAGAUGGCGGGAAAAAUGUAAACAAAAAUGCUGGCAGAGAAAGCGCUUGACCUGUUACGAGAACUGCAGAGAACGUUGGAUGGGUCCUUACCACCAUACAAUGAAGAUGGCAUCCGACAAAUUUUGGAAGAAAUGAAGGCAUUAUUUGAACAGAACCAAAAAGAUGUGUAUGUUUUGUAAUUGGUUAAAUCUCUUAAAUGUACACCCCUUUGCCCCAAUAACUACAUGUGUUUUUAUAUUUGUUUAGGAGUGCAACUGUUGCUGGUGAAAACGGUCUUUUUUCUGGUGUUCAGCUGAGACAUUCUGCUUUGGAGCGUAACAAAAGAUGUCUCCUGGCUUACUUGUACAAUCGGUUGGAACAAAUAAAGAAAAUGAGGUGGGAAUUCGGAAGUGUUCUUCCACCAGAGGUCAAAUUCAACAUGUGUGAACAAGAGGUGCAGUGGUUUAGCAAGUACAACAAGAUGCUUGCCAAUUAUAUGAGGUCUAUUGGAGGGGAGGGAGGCCUUGACCUCACACAAGAUCUAAAGCCUCCCAAAACACUCUAUAUAGAGGUAAAGGUGUUUCUAUUAAUGGGCCUUAUAAAGUUGAUUCAGGGUUUUCUUUUUGGGGGGGGGGGGAUGAGGGGUCAAAUAUCUUCCAAAGAAUAAGAUCUGCCUCCACUCCAUCGAAAGAGAAAUUCUGAGGGUGACAAAGGGUCCUAAUAAUGCUUAUCCCUUUAUAGUCUUACUUAGAUUUUUACCCAUUGAAGCAACAUCGAAAUGAUUAAACUUGUAAAACUACGAAAUGUUAUACAAACCUGAAGUCUAACAUCGCUGCCAAAAUCAAGGCUAGUAGUUCACUUGUGUUUAUUUUUCACAGACAAACUUAAAUGCCAGAGGCGUCUUGUUUAGUAAAUAAAAUAGUAUGUUUGAAAGCUGAGCUAUUUAAAAACAAAUGCAAACAUCAAAUUUUACAGGUUAGAUGCUUGAUGGACCAUGGGGAAUUCGAAACACAAGAUGGAAAUAUUCUCUUAUUGAAGAAAAACAGCCAGCAUUUCAUGUUGAGAUCGGAAUGUGAACAUUUGAUUCGUCAGGGAAUACUGGAACACAUUGUCCACUGAAGUUAAUUUAUGUGAUUGCUGAACUGAGGAAGUCUCAACAGUACCUGUACAUUUAGCCAAUUGAUUUCCAAGGCUGAACAAUUCAACUUCAUAAAAUGUACAUUUAGGAUACACUACCAAUCAUCAAUGCAACCUAGCAAUUGAUACCAACUAUGUUGCUGCUUUCUGGAAUGGUUUUUCUUUCCUGUAAUGGACAAAAAAAACUUCUACACCAUUUUUUCAUCUUUGUGUAGUAAUCCAAAGCAGUAUCAAGUGCUAUAUGUAUUUUGUUUUCUGUGCAUGUUGGAUAGUACAAAUACACAUCCUUACUUGAGCAUGUUCAUCUGUGAUAUCAUUCAGUAAAAAUGUC